UGAUGGCGCAAAUCUGAAGUAGCCAUGCCGCGUGCAGGAUGACGGUCCUAUGGAUUAAGUAAAGAUUGUUGUUUGGGAAGAAACCCUCCUACGUGUAGGAGCUUGACGGUACCGUAAGAAUAAGGAUCGGCUAACUCCGUGCCAGCAGCCGCGUAAUACGGAGGAUCCAAGCGUUAUCCGGAAUCAUUGGGUUUAAGAAGGGUCUGUAGGCGGUAUCUAGUACAGUGGUGAAUUCCCAUCGCUCAACGGUGGAACGGCCAUGACUGACUUGAAUGGUUGGGAAGCAACUAGAAUAUGUAGUGUAGGGUGAAAUGAGAGAUUUACAUGGAAUACCAAUUGCGAAGGCAGGUUGUACCAAUGGAUUGACGCUGAUGGACGAAAGCGUGGGUAGCGAACAGGAGUAGAUACCCUGGUAGUCCACGCCGUAAACGAUGGAUACUAGCUGUUGGGCGCAAGUUCAGUGGCUAAGCGAGUGAUAAGUAUCCCACCUGGGGAGUACAACGCAAGUGAAACUCAAGGAAUUGAGGGGCCCGCACAAGCGAAG
rnacentral:rRNA from 1 species